GUCCACGCCCUAAACGAUGUCAACUGGUUGUUGGGUCUUCACUGACUCAGUAACGAAGCUAACGCGUGAAGUUGACCGCCUGGUGAGUACGGCCGCAAGGUUGAAACUCAAAGGAAUUGACGGGGACCCCGCACAAGCGGUGGAUGAUGUGGUUUAAUUCGAUGCAACGCGAAAAACCUUACCCACCUUUGACAUGUACGGAAGUUACCAGAGAUGGUUUCGUGCUCGAAAGGAACCGUAACACAGGUGCUGCAUGGCUGUCGU
rnacentral:rRNA from 1 species